rnacentral:rRNA from 1 species
AGAGUUUGAUCAUGGCUCAGAACGAACGCUGGCGGCAUGCCUAACACAUGCAAGUCGAACGAAGCCUUCGGGCUUAGUGGCGCACGGGUGCGUAACGCGUGGGAAUCUGCCCUUGGGUUCGGAAUAACAGUUAGAAAUGACUGCUAAUACCGAAUGAUGUCUUCGGACCAAAGAUUUAUCGCCCAAGGAUGAGCCCGCGUCGGAUUAGCUAGUUGGUGAGGUAAAGGCUCACCAAGGCGACGAUCCGUAGCUGGUCUGAGAGGAUGAUCAGCCACACUGGGACUGAGACACGGCCCAGACUCCUACGGGAGGCAGCAGUGGGGAAUAUUGGACAAUGGGCGAAAGCCUGAUCCAGCAAUGCCGCGUGAGUGAUGAAGGCCUUAGGGUUGUAAAGCUCUUUUACCCGAGAUGAUAAUGACAGUAUCGGGAGAAUAAGCUCCGGCUAACUCCGUG